GAUGAAGAACGCAGCGAAACGCGAUAAGUAAUGUGAAUUCCAGAAUUCCGUGAAUCAUCGAAUCUUUGAACGCACAUUGCGCCCUCUGGUAUUCCGGGGGGCAUGCCUGUCCGAGCGUCAUUUGCAACCCUCAAGCCCGGCUUGUGUGAUGGGUGCCGUCCCCUACGGGACGCGCCCCGAAGGCAAUGGCGGCGUCGCGGUUAUCCGAUCAGCCAAAGUGUAUGGGGCUUUGUCACUCACUUUACGGCCCGGACCGGCGCCAGUCCGAAUCAAUCUUUUUUCUAAAGUUGACCUCGGAUCAGGUAGGGAUACCCGCUGAACUUAAGCAUAUCAAUAAGCGGAGGA
rnacentral:misc_RNA from 1 species